GCCUGAGUGGCGGAAUCGGUAGACGCGCCGGACUUAAAAUCCUGUGUCCAUUUCGGACGUGCCGGUUCGACCCCGGCCUCAGGUA
rnacentral:tRNA from 2 species